CCUCUCCCUCUUUCCAUUUUCCUCCCCCUUUUCUCCCCCCCUCCCUCCCGCGAGGGGAUCGAUCGCGCGCGAUUCGCUUCCCCUCCCUCCCUUCCGAAAUCCGCGAGAGACCGAGAUCGCGGCGAGGCGGUAAUGGCGGUGGAGGAGGUGGCCGAGAGCUGCGGCAGCCACGCGGCCGCGGCGGGCGGCGGCGGAGGCGGCGGGGGCGGGGGCGGGGGCGGGAAGGCGGGGUCCUCGUCGCCGCCGGGCGCGGCGGGGGCGCAGUCCAGGAAGCAGCAGCAGCAGCACCACCACAAGCUGGAGGUCUACACCGAGGUGCUGGCGCGCCUCCACGCCGCCGAGGAGCGCGCCCCCGGCUUCGACGACGACCUCUGGAGCCACUUCAACCGCCUCCCCGCACGCUACGCGAUGGAUGUGAACGUGGAGAGGGCGGAGGACGUGCUCACGCACAAGCGCCUCCUCGAGCUGGCCAAGGAUCCGGCGCAGCGCCCGGCCUUCGCCGUCCGGGCCGUGCAGGUAUCUCCAAUUGUUGAUGGGAAUCAGACUGAUGCUGAUUCACACACUGCAGGGGAGGAAGUUGCUUCAAGGCUGUUGAAUAGGCAACAAAGCAUCCACCCUCCUCCUGCUUUUGGUUCAUCUACAAACCUUGAGGCCCUUGCGCUUGAAGCUAGUAAGUCGCAAGGCCAAGAUCAAGAUAGCACCUCAGAUAAUGUCCGAUCUCUCUACAGACCCAUGCAUGAAAUCACGUUCUCUACCAUUGACAAACCAAAGCUUCUCAGCGAGCUGACAUGUCUGCUUGGUGAAAUUGGUCUCAACAUUCAAGAAGCACAUGCAUUUUCGACAAAUGAUGGCUACUCACUUGACGUGUUUGUUGUUGUUGGUUGGCAUGCUGAGGAAACGGAGGAUUUGAUAGAAGAACUAAAAAAAGAAAUCAGCAAGAUUGAGGAGACACAAGCAUGGUCUACAUCUCAUUCAUGGUCUUCUCCAGUUGAAAAUAUGCAGAUCGUGGAGAACUCAACAGCCGAUCAUGUUGCUAUACCUACAGAUGGUGCCAGUGAAUGGGAAAUUGAUAUAAAACUACUCAAUUUCGGGAAUAAAGUAGCAUCUGGGUCAUAUGGCGAUCUUUACCGGGGUACAUAUUGUAGUCAAGAUGUAGCUAUUAAAGUGCUCAAACCGGAGAGGGUAAAUGUGGACAUGCAGCGUGAAUUUGCCCAGGAAGUUUAUAUUAUGAGGAAGGUUCGUCACAAGAAUGUUGUGCAAUUUAUUGGUGCAUGCACUAAACCCCCAAGGCUAUGCAUAGUCACAGAAUUUAUGUCCGGUGGGAGUGUGUAUGAUUAUCUUCAUAAGCAUAAAGGUAUCUUCAAGCUCCCUGCCUUAGUUGGAGUUGCAAUGGAUGUGUCAAAAGGCAUGAGCUACUUACACCAAAAUAAUAUUAUUCAUCGGGAUCUGAAAACCGCCAAUCUUCUUAUGGAUGAGAACGGGAUGGUUAAGGUUGCUGAUUUUGGUGUUGCACGUGUUAAAGUUCAGUCUGGAGUAAUGACUGCAGAAACCGGGACAUACCGUUGGAUGGCCCCGGAGGUUAUAGAACACAAGCCCUACGACCACAAGGCUGAUGUUUUUAGUUUUGGAAUUUUGUUGUGGGAACUGCUCACUGGGAAGAUUCCUUACGAGUACCUGACACCAUUACAAGCAGCUGUAGGUGUGGUUCAGAAGGGAUUGCGGCCCACAAUACCAAAAAAUGCUCAUGCAAAGCUUGCGGAGCUCCUUCAGAAGUGCUGGCAGCAGGACCCUGCUGAAAGGCCAGAUUUCUCCGAGAUAUUAGAAGCUCUCAAGAAAAUAGCAGAGGAGGUCGGAGAUGAGCACGACGGAAAGCACAAGGACAAAAGCCUGGGGGGAUUCUUUUCGUCUCUGAGGGGGCGAGGACACUAAGGUGGCGCAGGUGUACAUGGCUUGCAAUCCGUUCGGACGGGCCUGAGCGAAGAUCAGCGCCUGUUUAUCAGCAUACCCAGUGCCAGUACAUUGAGAUGGACAGUGAACUGGGCCGGAUGGCAACUUUUCAGCUGUAGCUCCACUCAUCGGCCACAGCCAAUAGUUUUUUCUUUUGUCUGGUUAUUUACUUCCGGGUUCUGUUACAUGUAACAUAGGAAGAGAAUGCUUGUGGACUGUACAUUGUUUAAUCUGAUUUUAACAGGCUUUAACUUGCACAUGAAAUAAUAAGCCUAGCUUAGGGCAUGCUGUGAUUCUUUCAGUCAUGAUUAUCUUUCCA
rnacentral:rRNA from 1 species